rnacentral:rRNA from 1 species
UUUAAGGUUUGACCUGCCCAAUGAGGAUUUUAAUGGCCGCGGUAAUUUGACCGUGCAAAGGUAGCAUAAUCAUUAGUUUUUUAAAUGAAAGCUGGAAUGAAUGGUUGGACGAGAAAAUAUCUGUCUCUAUUUAAUUUAUAUUAGAAUUUAAUUUUUAAGUUAAAAAGCUUAAAUGAUUUUAAAAGACGAGAAGACCCUAUAGAGUUUUAUAUAAUAAAUAGUAUAGUUAUUUAAGUAUUUUUUUUUAUUAAUAUUAUUAUUUAUAUUUAGUUGGGGUGAUUUAAAAAUUAAGAAAACUUUUUAUUUUUGUUUAACAUUAAUUUAUGAAUAAGUGAUCCAUUAUUAGUGAUUAUAAGAUUAAAUUACCUUAGGGAUAACAGCGUUAUUUUAUUUGAGAGUUCUUAUCGAAAAUAGAGUUUGCGACCUCGAUGUUGGAUUAAAAUAAACUUUUGGUGUAGGGGCUAAAUAGGUUGAGUCUGUUCGACUUUUAAAAUUUUACAUGAUCUGAGUUUAAACCGGCGUAAGCCAGGUUGGUUUCUAUCUUUAAUAUUGUAUUUAAUAUUUUAGUACGAAAGGACCAUAUAUUAAUAAUAUUUAUUUGUAGUUGUAUAUUAUUA